rnacentral:rRNA from 1 species
GACGAACGCUGGCGGCGUGCUUAACACAUGCAAGUCGAACGGAAGGGCCCUGCUUUUGUGGGGUGCUCGAGUGGCGAACGGGUGAGUAACACGUGAGUAACCUGCCCUUGACUUUGGGAUAACUUCAGGAAACUGGGGCUAAUACCGGAUAGGAGCUCCUGCUGCAUGGUGGGGGUUGGAAAGUGUCGGCGGUUGGGGAUGGACUCGCGGCUUAUCAGCUUGUUGGUGGGGUAGUGGCUUACCAAGGCUUUGACGGGUAGCCGGCCUGAGAGGGUGACCGGCCACAUUGGGACUGAGAGACGGCCCAGACUCCUACGGGAGGCAGCAGUGGGGAAUAUUGCACAAUGGGCGGAAGCCUGAUGCAGCAACGCCGCGUGCGGGAUGACGGCCUUCGGGUUGUAAACCGCUUUCGCCUGUGACGAAGCGUGAGUGACGGUAAUGGGUAAAGAAGCACCGGCUAACUACGUG